rnacentral:rRNA from 1 species
AGUGAACGCUGGCGGUAGGCCUAACACAUGCAAGUCGAACGGCAGCACAGUAAGAGCUUGCUCUUACGGGUGGCGAGUGGCGGACGGGUGAGGAAUACAUCGGAAUCUACUUUUUCGUGGGGGAUAACGUAGGGAAACUUACGCUAAUACCGCAUACGACCUACGGGUGAAAGCAGGGGAUCUUCGGACCUUGCGCGAUUGAAUGAGCCGAUGUCGGAUUAGCUAGUUGGCGGGGUAAAGGCCCACCAAGGCGACGAUCCGUAGCUGGUCUGAGAGGAUGACACGCCAAACGGGAACUGGAAACGGGUCCAAACCCCAAGGGGGGGCAGCAGGGGGGAAUUUGGGACAAUGGGCGCAGCCCUGACCCGGCAAUCCCGGGGGGGGAAAAAAGGCCUUGGGGUUGAAAAGCCCUUUUUUUGGGAAAAAAAAGCAGCAGGUUAAAACCCCGCUUUUCUGACGGUACCAAAAAAAAAAGCACCGGCUAACUUCGU